rnacentral:rRNA from 1 species
ACGGCGCACGGGUGCGUAACGCGUAUGCAAUCUACCUUUCACAGAGGGAUAGCCCAGAGAAAUUUGGAUUAAUACCUCAUAGUAUUACGACCCGGCAUCGGGAUGUAAUUAAAGUCACAACGGUGAAAGAUGAGCAUGCGUCCCAUUAGCUAGUUGGUAAGGUAACGGCUUACCAAGGCAACGAUGGGUAGGGGUCCUGAGAGGGAGAUCCCCCACACUGGUACUGAGACACGGACCAGACUCCUACGGGAGGCAGCAGUGAGGAAUAUUGGUCAAUGGACGCAAGUCUGAACCAGCCAUGCCGCGUGCAGGAUGACGGUCCUAUGGAUUGUAAACUGCUUUUGUACGAGAAGAAACACUCCCUCGUGAGGGAGCUUGACGGUAUCGUAAGAAUAAGGAUCGGCUAACUCCGUGCCAGCAGCCGCGGUAAUACGGAGGAUCCAAGCGUUAUCCGGAAUCAUUGGGUUUAAAGGGUCCGUAGGCGGUUUGGUAAGUCAGUGGUGAAAGCCCAUCGCUCAACGGUGGAACGGCCAUUGAUACUGCCGAACUUGAAUUACUGGGAAGUAACUAGAAUAUGUAGUGUAGCGGUGAAAUGCUUAGAGAUUACAUGGAAUACCAA